GGCGGAGUGGCCGAGUGGUCUAAGGCAGCGGUCUUGAAAACCGCCGGGCGAAAGCCCCGUGGGUUCGAAUCCUACCUCCGCCG
rnacentral:tRNA from 1 species